rnacentral:rRNA from 1 species
CGCCGGCGGCGUGCUUAACACAUGCAAGUCGAACGAUGAAGCCUUUCGGGGUGGAUUAGUGGCGAACGGGUGAGUAACACGUGGGCAAUCUGCCCUUCACUCUGGGACAAGCCCUGGAAACGGGGUCUAAUACCGGAUAACACUCUGUCCCGCAUGGGACGGGGUUAAAAGCUCCGGCGGUGAAGGAUGAGCCCGCGGCCUAUCAGCUUGUUGGUGGGGUAAUGGCCUACCAAGGCGACGACGGGUAGCCGGCCUGAGAGGGCGACCGGCCACACUGGGACUGAGACACGGCCCAGACUCCUACGGGAGGCAGCAGUGGGGAAUAUUGCACAAUGGGCGAAAGCCUGAUGCAGCGACGCCGCGUG